rnacentral:rRNA from 1 species
GUCUACGACCAUGCCACUCUGAACAAGCCCAAUCCUGUCUGAUCUCGGAAGCUAAGCAGGGUUGGGCCUGGUUAGUACUUGGAUGGGAGACAACCAAGGAAGCCCAGGUGUUGCAGGCA